rnacentral:lncRNA from 1 species
UUAAAAUGCAAACGUUUUAAAAUCAUUUUAAAAUUGAUUACACACUAAUCUUAGUGUAACAUGCAAACAUGUUUUAAAGUUCUUUAAAAAAUAUUACUUAGGCAAGAAGGAGAGGAUAUGAGCGAGCCCUGGAACAGCUAGAAUCAAAAGGACAGCCUGUAUACAUAUGUACAUUUCAGGUAUGGUCUUUUGGUUGGUUUAUGCUUUUGCUACAUGGUCUUUGCAGGGGUUUAAGACACCAGCUAUUAAUAAAUACUGUUCUUGUUAGAAGGAAAAAGAGGUGUAUGACAUAAGUGAAACGGGUCCCCACC